rnacentral:rRNA from 1 species
AGCAAACGCUGGCGGCGUGCCUAAUACGUGCAAGUCGAACGGGGAAAGUAGCAAUACGAGUACUAGUGGCGCACGGGUGAGGAACACGUGGGUAAUCUGCCUUCGAGCGGGGGAUAACUAGUCGAAAGAUUAGCUAAUACCGCAUAAGACCACAAUGUCUGAGGACAAAGGGGUCAAAGUCGCAAGACACUUGAAGAUGAGCCCGCGUAAGAUUAGCUAGUUGGUGAGGUAAUGGCUCACCAAGGCGAUGAUCUUUAGCUGGUCUGAGAGGAUGAUCAGCCACACUGGAACUGAGACACGGUCCAGACUCCUACGGGAGGCAGCAGUAGGGAAUAUUGCGCAAUGGGGGAAACCCUGACGCAGCGACGCCGCGUGAGUGAUGAAGGCCUUCGGGUCGUAAAGCUCUGUUAUAUGGGAAUAAGAUCUGAAUGUACCAUGUGAGAAAGGAUCGGCUAACUUCGUGCCAGCAGCCGCGGUAAUAC